rnacentral:lncRNA from 1 species
GUCUGUCUUCAUCAUCACCUUCAGACCCCCACCCUCUCUCUAAACCACCACAACCUUCAUCUCCACCACCACCAUAAAACCCCACCGCCUGUAAACACCUGUAUCACCAACCCAUCACCCUUGCUGCCUUUCGCCGCCAUUCCAAUCAGCCACAACCACCUCCGCCACAACCACUGCCGCCGCCAUCAUCACCACUGACACAACCACCACCAACCACCAUCAUCCGCCACUGCCACCACCACCUUCAUCACCGUAAUCAGCCACCACCACCUCUACCCAUUGUGCCUUCUUCCCCGUGUAAACCCUUGAAAUCGCUCUGUGAUUUCAUUUCAGAAAUUCAUGUUCAAUCGGUACGGUUACCACUCAAAAACUAUAGGGCUUUUAUUCAGGACAUGAAUACGGGUAGAUUGGUAUAGUUUUUACUUCAGAUCGGUGCCAAUUUGACAGAUCGGCAACGACGACGGCAGAUAGUGAAGACAAUGGGUUCAAGAUUAUGCGGUCGAUUUCUUGGGUGUACCUGGUGGCGGCGUUGGAUCUCAUUCUCUAAAUAGAAAGUAAUGCUUGUGGUGGUGUAUGUUUAGAUAACAAAUGCUUUAAUCGAGAUAAUGAACUGAUCAAGAAUGAAUGGAUCUUUGUUUGUGGUGGUGUAGGUGGUGGGUUUGAGAAGGAGGGGGGGUGGGGUGGUUAUUUUGUUUUAUAAAAAAGUGGGUCCCACAAAUAAAUAAAUCUAUUUAACAAGUUAAGUUAUUUUGCUUUAUAGCAAAGGUAUUUUUGUCAUUUCACAUCCUCUUAACUGAGAAAACUAACUGAUGUUAGGCCUAGGGAUUAUCCGGGAACGAAAAUUGAAAAGUUGGGGACUAUAUAGAUAAUUUUAGAAAGUUAGGGACUA